GUUCCCAUGGUCUAGUGGUUAUGACGCUUCGUUGUGGUCGCAUAGCGAUUAUGCAAGCUUCCCGAAGCGGCGCGUGUUCGAUUCAUGCUGGGGACA